AGUGGUUAAGUAACCAAGGGCGCACGGUGAAUGCCUUGGCACUAGGAGCCGAUGAAGGACGGGACGAACACCGAUAUGCUUCGGGGAGCUGUAAGUAAGCUUUGAUCCGGAGAUUUCCGAAUGGGGGAACCCCACAACUGAAGGUUGUGACACGCAAGUGAGGUAAACGCAGAGAACUGAAACAUCUAAGUACCUGCAGGAAGAGAAAGAAAGAUCGAUUCCCUAAGUAGCGGCGAGCGAACGGGGAAGAGCCCAAACCAUGGUGCAUGCACCAUGGGGUAGUAGGACUCCCAUACGGGAGAGGACGCAGUAACCGAAUGACUUGGGAAAGUCAGUCAAAGAGGGUGAGAACCCCGUAGGUGAAACUGUAACCUCCCCGGGAGGAUCCUGAGUACGGCGGGACACGAGAAAUCCCGUCGGAAGCGACCAGGACCAUCUGGUAAGGCUAAAUACUCCCUAGUGACCGAUAGUGAACCAGUACCGUGAGGGAAAGGUGAAAAGCACCCCGGGAGGGGAGUGAAAAGAACCUGAAACCGUGUGCUUACAAGUAGUCAGAGCCCGUUAAGGGGUGAUGGCGUACCUUUUGUAGAAUGGACCGGCGAGUGAUGAUAGUUGGCAAGGUUAAGUUGAAGAAACGGAGCCGUAGCGAAAGCGAGUCUGAAGAGGGCGACAGUCAGGUGUUAUCGACCCGAAACCAAGUGACCUACCCAUGUGCAGGUUGAAGGUGUGGUGAAACACACUGGAGGACCGAACCGAAACACGUUGAAAAGUGUUCGGAUGACGUGUGGGUAGCGGAGAAAUUCCAAUCGAACUUGGAGAUAGCUGGUUCUCUCCGAAAUAUAUUUAGGUAUAGCCUCAAAGUAAGCGUCGUGGAGGUAGAGCACUGUUUGGACUAGGGGGUCUAUCGACUUACUGAAUCCAGAUAAACUCCGAAUGCCAUAGACGUAUCUUUGGGAGUCAGACUGCGAGUGCUAAGAUCCGUAGUCGAAAGGGAAACAGCCCAGCCCACCAGCUAAGGUCCCUAAAUUACUGUUAAGUGGCAAAGGAUGUGGGGUUGCCUAGACAACUAGGAGGUUGGCU
rnacentral:rRNA from 1 species